UACGUAGGGGGCAAGCGUUAUCCGGAUUUACUGGGUGUAAAGGGAGCGUAGACGGUGAUGCAAGUCAGAAGUGAAAGCCCGGGGCUCAACUCCGGGACUGCUUUUGAAACUGUGUGACUGGAGUGCAGGAGAGGUAAGCGGAAUUCCUGGUGUAGCGGUGAAAUGCGUAGAUAUUAGGAGGAACACCAGUGGCGAAGGCGGCCUGCUGGGCUUUUACUGACGCUGAGGCUCGAAAGUGUGGGGAGCAAACAGG
rnacentral:rRNA from 1 species